CAGCGUGGAGUGUUCUGACAUGCU
rnacentral:siRNA from 1 species